rnacentral:rRNA from 1 species
GUAGGGAAUCUUCCACAAUGGACGAAAGUCUGAUGGAGCAACGCCGCGUGAGUGAAGAAGGUUCUCGGAUCGUAAAACUCUGUUGUGAGGGAAGAACAAGUACCGGAGUAACUGCCGGUACCUUGACGGUACCUCAUUAGAAAGCCACGGCUAACUACGUGCCAGCAGCCGCGGUAAUACGUAGGUGGCAAGCGUUGUCCGGAAUCAUUGGGCGUAAAGCGCGCGCAGGCGGUCCCUUAAGUCUGAUGUGAAAGCCCACGGCUCAACCGUGGAGGGUCAUUGGAAACUGGGGGACUUGAGUGCAGAAGAGGAAAGCGGAAUUCCAAGUGUAGCGGUGAAAUGCGUAGAGAUUUGGAGGAACACCAGUGGCGAAGGCGGCUUUCUGGUCUGUAACUGACGCUGAGGCGCGAAAGCGUGGGGAGCAAACAGGAUUAGAUACCCCGGUAGUCC